GACGAACGCUGGCGGCGUGCUUAACACAUGCGAGUCGAGCGGAAAGGCCUGCUUUCCCUUGUGGAUUGCGGGUACUCGAGUGGCGAACGGGUGAGUAACACGUGAGUGAUCUGCCCCCAACUUGGGUAUAAGCCUGGGAAACUGGGUCUAAUUCCCGAUAGGACUGCAGGGUGGUGCCUGUGGUGGAAAACGAUUUUCUAGUGGUUGGGGAUGAGCUCGCGGCCUAUCAGCUUGUUGGUGGGGUAAUGGCCUACCAAGGCGGCGACGGGUAGCCGGCCUGAGAGGGUGGACGGCCACAUUGGGACUGAGAUACGGCCCAGACUCCUACGGGAGGCAGCAGUGGGGAAUAUUGCACAAUGGGCGGAAGCCUGAUGCAGCGACGCCGCGUGGGGGAUGACGGCCUUCGGGUUGUAAACUCCUUUCGACCGCGAGGAAGCCACCUGGUUGGAAGGGUGGUGACGGUAGUGGUAGAAGAAGCACCGGCUAACUACGUG
rnacentral:rRNA from 1 species